ensembl:lncRNA
UGAACAUCGAGAGGAGCCUUGGAUUGCCCCAGAAAAGCGAGUGAGAGGGAGAGCCGAGGAGGAGAGAGUACAUUCAUCAGGGAGGACGGCAUCGCGUUCCAAGCGGCUUUGCAAGAGAUCAGGCUGCGGCGUGUUGUGAUUCCCCCUGGGUCACCACUAUAUCCUGCUUCAUUCACAACGCCGCCUCGCCUCAGCUCAUCAAUGCUGCGCCUCACAAUCGAUCAUUUCCAUAAAACGCCGCGCAGGCUUAGGCUUAUUCCUUCUCUUCACCCCCGGCCUCCAAAAAAUGAAAAAAACAAACAAACAUAAGAAACACUGUCAAACUUGGUCUUGACCAAAUUUCAACUACCAGAUUAACUACGUACAAUAUGUAUGAGGUUGUGACCUCACAAGAUUUCUAUUCUUUAUCUUUUUUUCUUUUCUUGUAUUGGCAAGUAUUGACUGACUGGGGAAGUAUGUUGUUGUUGUAAUAGCAUCAGUGUCUGUGGCUCAUCCAUCCUGCCCAUCACGUCUCUAAUGCUCCCGCAGUACCGAUAUAAAUCAGGAGCAAAAGUAAGGUCUAACAUGGAAAAAGAUGAAGAGUUGGAGUUGUUGUUCUUGUUGGCAUGGCGAUAAUUGUU